rnacentral:rRNA from 1 species
CACGUGGGUGAUCUGCCUCGUACUUUGGGAUAAGCCUGGGAAACUGGGUCUAAUACCGAAUAUGACCUCUGGAUGCAUGUCUGGUGGUGGAAAGUUUUUCGGUACGAGAUGGGCCCGCGGCCUAUCAGCUUGUUGGUGGGGUAAUGGCCUACCAAGGCGACGACGGGUAGCCGGCCUGAGAGGGCGACCGGCCACACUGGGACUGAGACACGGCCCAGACUCCUACGGGAGGCAGCAGUGGGGAAUAUUGCACAAUGGGCGCAAGCCUGAUGCAGCGACGCCGCGUGAGGGAUGACGGCCUUCGGGUUGUAAACCUCUUUCACCAGGGACGAAGAGUGAUUGACGGUACCUGGAGAAGAAGCACCGGCCAACUACGUG